rnacentral:misc_RNA from 1 species
UCAUGACUUUAGUGUUAGUUCUUAUGAAACUUUGUACCUAGCUUAGUUUAGAAGCUCUUUAAUUCACCUUCGACGAAUUGCAGUACUCCGUGGAGUUUAUGUAAUGAAGUUUGCGAAGUGAUACAUGCCACAGACUUUUUUGAGCCAUAUUAUAACUUUCAUUUUCAAAUGAAUUGAGAAUGGUACAAGUACCCACUAAUGUCCAUGUACCACCAUCUUCAACAUUCCGUAUGAACUUUAAACACAUUUAGAAAAGGAGUGAUUCUCUUAAUAUGCUCAGUAGCAUUCAGUACCGACGCUACUGCCGAAACGAUGGAAAAUGUUCAC